UACUGGUGGGGAGUGGUGGGAGGUGGUGUCCAUUCACGCAUGAGGGUUCUAGUCCCUACCCACUCCUUCCAGGCUGUGUGACCUUGGGCAACUCACGUAGCCUCCCUGAACCUCAGUUUCCUCAUCUGUGCAAUGAGGAUAAUUAUUCGUGUCUUGGAGGAUUGUCAUGAGAUUUGAAUGAGAGGAGGGUAUACAAGGAAGUACUUUCUAAGCUGACGAUUGAGUUAGCAAACAAGUUAGAGAAAGUACAGAUGGGAAGAGACAGAGAGCAAAGGGUAAAGAGGAAAGAAAACAGCUUGAGAGCUCUUGUUUCCAUCCACCCAAAUGCAGUUCCUUUCCUUGGAGUUUGUUUUAAUUCAUUCAAGGAGUGUUGAUUGAUAAGGCUGUGUCUCCCUAAGUGGGGCUUUAGGGGUAAUUUAAAAAGGAGUCAACCUCACCCUCAGGGAGCAAGAGUGACCAGGCUCCAGGGCUGAACCCAGCAGUGUCUGGGAUGAAGGUCAGCAGGGACGGUGGUGUCUGCUGUUCCGGGAUUGAGAGAGAUGAAGCACUUACUCACCUCAGUGACUGGUGUGCGCAGCCACUCCCUAGCCGGCUUCUUCCAUGGCAGGACCUGCAAAUGCUGGACUCACAGAAGGCUCUGAGAAGUAAAUAACAGAUGGAGUUUUACUUUUGCUGCCCAGGCUGGAGUACGAUGG
rnacentral:lncRNA from 1 species